rnacentral:misc_RNA from 1 species
ACUAAAAGUCGUAACAAGGUAACCGUAGGUGAACCUGCGGUUGGAUCAUUAACAAAAUGAUAAGAGCCUGGGGUAAAACCCAGGUUUUUAUAAACAUCUGUGAACUGUAAUUGUAUCUGGUGGACAUGUAAUAUUUUAUGUGUCCACCGUUAUGAACUUUUAUAAUCUUGAAUUAGUUUUUAAAUUAUUAUUAAUUUUAAACAACUUUUGACAACGGAUCUCUAGGCUCUC